rnacentral:rRNA from 1 species
UACGUAGGGGGCAAGCGUUGUCCGGAAUCAUUGGGCGUAAAGAGCGUGUAGGCGGUCCGGUCAGUCGGUUGUGAAAGUCAAGGGCUCAACCCUUGAAUGCCGGCCGAUACUGCCGGGCUAGAGUCCGGAAGAGGUGAGUGGAAUUCCUGGUGUAGCGGUGAAAUGCGCAGAUAUCAGGAGGAACACCGAUGGCGAAGGCAGCUCGCUGGGACGUCACUGACGCUGAGACGCGAAAGCGUGGGGAGCAAACAGG